UACGGGGGGGGUAAGCGUUGUUCGGAAUUACUGGGCGUAAAGGGCUCGUAGGCGGCCAACUAAGUCGGACGUGAAAUCCCUCAGCUUAACUGGGGAACUGCGUCCGAUACUGGAUGGCUUGAAUCCGGGAGAGGGAUGCAGAAUUCCAGGUGUAGCGGUGAAAUGCGUAGAUAUCUGGAGGAAUACCGGUGGCGAAGGCGGCAUCCUGGACCGGCAUUGACGCUGAGGAGCGAAAGCCAGGGGAGCAAACGGG
rnacentral:rRNA from 1 species